GAUGUCAGUGUCCUUAGAAAAAUAUUAUUUUGUGAUUAAAAAAUGGGUCUAAAUAGCACUAAAAAUGGUUCACUGGCUCGUAAUCGUAGGGCACGUUUUUUUUUUUUUUGGGAGGGGGUGGUGUGACAAGAAUACUAACAACAGAACAAAUAUAGAAUAUGUAAAAGAUUCUGGUUUUAAUAGUGCUGAAUGAGUUGCAGACCGGUCCCAUUUGAUAUUAUUUUAGAUUUUCUAAAUCUUUCUCAUAUUUAAUUUUUUAAUACCACCUCAGUGAGUGUGUGAUACAUGUAAAGUAUUUAAAACUGUGAGAAAGUGAUUUAAAAGUUGUAGAGAACUUCAGCUCCCGCCAGUAUUGUAUUGUGUGGUAUUGGUCAUGCUGCAAUCCCAGAUUCAUGCACAUGCUCACAGACACCUGCUAGGAUCUAAUCUGAUAGUUUGGAGAGAGGGAAUAAAGUUACAUUAUAGGAUAUUAUUUUUUCUGCAUCCUCUGUUUCCUGUCCCUGUUUCCACACUUGGCUUGAACUGCAGAAACUGACAGGAAGACUCAGUAGUGUAAAUUACAUGCAUUCACGAUGACCAAGUUGGGUGUCCAGAUUUCUUUGUCUGCAGGUGCUGUGUGUGUUCCAGAUGUGCUGAUUGAUCACGGUUGGGUUUGUUUGGCAGAAGGGACACGAGGAAAGAGAAGAAAGAAAGAGAAAGUGAGAGAGAGAGAGACCAGCGCAUUGUGUGGUGCAGUGGAUUUUUAAAGACAGCUGGCAGAGACAGCGCAGGAAGAAGAUGCCAACGCAAAACUUUUACUGUUUCCUCUCUCUCUCUUUUUCUUUAUCUCUAUUCUUUUCCUCCCUCAUUCUGUUCUUCAGGAAAUGCGAUGCUGAAUGAAAUCUAUUGACGGCCUCUGGUCUGGUCUCUACUGCCUCGGCAACAGUUGUCCGGGACUCAGGUUCAGCAUAUGGAAGCGUUCUGCGCUGUAUAAUCACUGCUAAUUUCUCAGCAAAUAAGUCAACAUAGACUCCUUUGAAUCACACACCAUUUACGACUGGCUAUGAACAGACAGCAUUCCUGUGUUCAGCUGCUCUUUGGAUGUGAUAGAGUUUAUCAUUCGCUCUCUUCUGGAAGUUCAAUGGAUCACAGACACACUGUUGCACACAUUCCACAUUAGAUAGACGCAGAUCUAAACAGAUAGAUCAUUCCUUCACGCAUGCAUGGGUUUGGCUGCUGAAUAAAGAAGUCGCUAUAUCAGCAAGAUCUCAGGACUGCUUAAGAGGUCAGUUUGAAAUAUUGCAUUGAAUUUAAGAAACAGCGAUGAAAUAUGUAUAAUGCAUGAUUGGGCCCUCCUGCAUGUUGAUGGUUUAUUUAGCAAUCUUCUUGAGUUAGAUAUGUUCCAAUUACACUGUCAAAAUAUGGUC